CGAGAUGCUACGGCGUCGAAGCAGUCUAUGUCAGACUUCCAAGAAAAGCUCGCUAUGUCAUAAGUAAAAAAUGCCUGUACCAUAACCGACACAGGUGGGUAGGUAGAGUAUACUAAGGGGCGCGAGAUAACUCUCUCUAAGGAACUCGGCAAAAUAACUCCGUAACUUCGGGAGAAGGAGUGCCUUCUUUAAGAAGGUUGCAAUAACAAGAUCCAAGCAACUGUUUAUCAAAAACACAGGUCUCCGCUAAGUUGCAAGACGAUGUAUGGGGGCUGACGCCUGCCCAGUGCCAGAAGGUUAAAGAAAUUGGUUAGCUUUGGCGAAGCUGAUGACUGAAGCCCUGGUGAACGGCGGCCGUAACGAUAACGGUCCUAAGGUAGCGAAAUUCCUUGUCGGGUAAGUUCCGACCCGCACGAAAGGCGUAAUGAUUUGGAUACUGUCUCGGAGAGGGACUCGGUGAAAUAGACUUGUCUGUGAAGAUGCGGACUACCUGCACCAGGACAGAAAGACCCUAUGAAGCUUUACUGUAACUUGAAAUUGAAAUUGGACUUUAUUUGCGCAGCAUAGGUGGAAGGCGUAGAAGGUAUUCUUCGGGACUACUGGAGCCAUCAGUGAGAUACCACUCCUAUAAUGUUAGAUUUCUAACUUUGAAUCAUGAUCUGGUCAAAGAACAGUUUCAGGCGGGCAGUUUGACUGGGGCGGUCGCCUCCCAAAUUGUAACGGAGGCGUACAAAGGUUUCCUCUGAACGGGUAGAAAUCGUAUCUAGAGUGUAAAGGCAUAAGGAAGCUUGACUGUGAGACCUACAAGUCGAGCAGGGACGAAAGUCGGUCUUAGUGAUCUGACGGUGCUGAGUGGAAAGGCCGUCACUCAACGGAUAAAAGUUACUCUAAGGAUAACAGGCUGAUCUCCCCCAAGAGUUCACAUCGACGGGGAGGUUUGGCACCUCGAUGUCGGCUCAUCGCAUCCUGGGGCGGUAGUACGUCCCAAGGGUUGGGCUGUUCGCCCAUGAAAGCGGUACGCGAGCUGGGUUCAGAACGUCGUGAGACAGUUCGGUCCAUAUCCGGUGUAGGCGUUAGAAUAUUGAGAGGAGCCUUCUUUAGUACGAGAGGACCGAGAAGGACAUACCUCUGGUGUACCAGUUAUCGUGCCAACGGUAAACGCUGGGUAGCUAUGUAUGGAGAGGAUAACCGCUGAAAGCAUCUAAGUGGGAAGCCCACCUCAAGAUGAGUAUUCCC
rnacentral:rRNA from 1 species